AUGUAGUACCGACCGUCGAUGCGUCGAACCGUCCCGGUCGGGCGUAUAGUGUAGGUAGUAUGUGUGUGCCACCCGACCGGGACGGUUCGACGCAUCGACGGUCGGCACUACAAAAAG
rnacentral:pre_miRNA from 1 species